rnacentral:rRNA from 1 species
UGAUGCAGCCAUGCCGCGUGUGUGAGAAGGCCUUCGGGUUGUAAAGCACUUUCAGUAGGGAGGAAGGUAGUGUAGUUAACACCUGCAUUAUUUGACGUUACCUGCAGAAGAAGCACCGGCUAACUCCGUGCCAGCAGCCGCGGUAAUA